UGAGUAAUGUCUGGGAAACUGCCCGAUGGAGGGGGAUAACUACUGGAAACGGUAGCUAAUACCGCAUAACGUCUUCGGACCAAAGUGGGGGACCUUCGGGCCUCACACCAUCGGAUGUGCCCAGAUGGGAUUAGCUAGUAGGUGGGGUAAUGGCUCACCUAGGCGACGAUCCCUAGCUGGUCUGAGAGGAUGACCAGCCACACUGGAACUGAGACACGGUCCAGACUCCUACGGGAGGCAGCAGUGGGGAAUAUUGCACAAUGGGCGCAAGCCUGAUGCAGCCAUGCCGCGUGUAUGAAGAAGGCCUUCGGGUUGUAAAGUACUUUCAGUGGGGAGGAAGGCGUUAAGGUUAAUAACCUUAGCGAUUGACGUUACCCGCAGAAGAAGCACCGGCUAACUCCGUGCCAGCAGCCGCGGUAAUACGGAGGGUGCAAGCGUUAAUCGGAAUUACUGGGCGUAAAGCGCACGCAGGCGGUCUGUCAAGUCGGAUGUGAAAUCCCCGGG
rnacentral:rRNA from 1 species